ACUCAAAGGAAUUGACGGGGACCCGCACAAGCGGUGGAGCAUGUGGUUUAAUUCGAAGCAACGCGAAGAACCUUACCAAGUCUUGACAUCGGAAUGACCGGAACUUAACCGUUCCUUUUCUUCGGAACAUUCCAGACAGGUGGUGCAUGGUUGUCGUCAGCUCGUGUCGUGAGAUGUUGGGUUAAGUCCCGCAACGAGCGCAACCCUUAUCCUAAGUAGCCAGCAGUCCGGCUGGGCACUCUUGGGAGACUGCCAGGGAUAACCUGGAGGAAGGUGGGGAUGACGUCAAAUCAUCAUGCCCCUUAUGAUUUGGGCUACACACGUGCUACAAUGGCGUAAACAAAGGGAAGCGAAGCUGUGAAGCUAAGCAAAUCUCAAAAAUAACGUCUCAGUUCGGAUUGUAGUCUGCAACUCGACUACAUGAAGCUGGAAUCGCUAGUAAUCGCGGAUCAAAAUGCCGCGGUGAAUACGUUCCCGGGUCUUGUACACACCGCCCGUCACACCAUGGGAGUCAGUAACGCCCGAAGUCAGUGACCCAACCGAAAGGAGGGAGCUGCCGAAGGCGGGACCGAUAACUGGGGUGAAGUCG
rnacentral:rRNA from 1 species